UGUUGAAACACCUGUUCCCGUACGAUCACCGAAGUUAAGCAGCGUCGAGCCUAGUCAGUACCUAGAGGGGUGACUGUUUUUGGAAUACCAGGUGCUGUAAG